rnacentral:rRNA from 1 species
CCUGGCGACCAUAGCGAGUGGGAACCACCCGAUUCCAUUCCGAACUCGGAAGUGAAACCGCUCAGCGCCGAUGAUAGUGUGGGGUUUCCCCAUGUGAAAGUAGGUCAUCGCCAGGC